AGUGAACGCUGGCGGUAGGCCUAACACAUGCAAGUCGAACGGCAGCACAGUAAGAGCUUGCUCUUACGGGUGGCGAGUGGCGGACGGGUGAGGAAUACAUCGGAAUCUACUUUUUCGUGGGGGAUAACGUAGGGAAACUUACGCUAAUACCGCAUACGACCUACGGGUGAAAGCAGGGGAUCUUCGGACCUUGCGCGAUUGAAUGAGCCGAUGUCGGAUUAGCUAGUUGGCGGGGUAAAGGCCCACCAAGGCGACGAUCCGUAGCUGGUCUGAGAGGACGAUCAGACACACUGGAACUGAGACACGGUCCAGACUCCUACGGGAGGCAGCAGUGGGGAAUAUUGGACAAUGGGCGCAAGCCUGAUCCAGCCAUACCGCGUGGGUGAAGAAGGCCUUCGGGUUGUAAAGCCCUUUUGUUGGGAAAGAAAAGCAGCAGGUUAAUACCCCGCUGUUCUGACGGUACCCAAAGAAUAAGCACCGGCUAACUUCGUG
rnacentral:rRNA from 1 species